GUUAGUAACUUGUAAAACGAAAGAUUUUGCAAAGGAAAAUGUCAAUCUUAUUGAGCUUGUAUGUACAUAGAUUAUUAAUAUUUAUUAUACAAUUGUAUUUUAUUGAUUUUUUGUGAAAGAAGCUAAAUAUCUGUUAUGUAUAGAUAUUUUAUACUGACAAAAUUAAACGGCCCAUAAAGUAUACAUCGCAGAUUCAAAAAAGAGUCAAAAUAAUUCGAGCAAGAUUGAGGAAGAGAUUUAAAAUAACCUAAGAGAAAGUACUAACAAUUGAAAUAUUUUUAUAUGGCAAUAGUUUUCAAUCCUUUGUCAUAACAUAUUGUUAUAAAAGAUCUGUAAAAAUAUUUUUCAAGACAAAUAUUUAUCAUUCAACAAAAUCAAUAUCUUUAUCAUUCUUAAUAAUUUGGAUCAAUUGAAUUUCACAAUUAAUUAAUCAAGUGCCAAUUAAAAAGAAUUGAAAAUUUAUUUCACAAUUACAGUGAUAUAUUAAUAAAAAAUAUUUAUUUAAAAUAUGAUUUUUAUCUGGCAGCAGAUGAAACGGCAUAUGUGAAGCUCUUUUCGAUAAAGUAUUAACGGUUCGUAGAUGCAAUUAACCACUGAUUUUUCCAUAAUGAACUAAAAUUAGAAAUUCAAAUUGAUCUUUUUUCUUCUUGCUGCCAACCGAGCUGCUGCAACCGUAUUACAAUCAAGUCGGGCAGAAUUGCUGGUCAAUUUUCUCCGGAAUGGAAUGAUUUCGUAAUCAUUGCGGAAGGUGAUGGCAGUCUAGGGUCGACGACCACGAUAUUCACGUGAGAUGAUCGUUAGACGUGCAUAGGAGCAUUUGUGUCGAAAAAUGAAUCAAAUUUAUCGUAUAAUUGAAAUAAAUUAACUCUAAAUUAAUCUUUUUAUAUUCAAUGUUACGAAUAUAGAAUAUGAUACUUUAUUUAGUUAUUAAAUGUAUUUCUCUUUGGCGAAACAUAUUUCUUUGUUCUAUGUUACAUCUUCUUUACGAAGACAUAAAGAUAUAUUUUUAUCAUUAUAUAAUAAUUAAUAAAAAAAAAUUGUUGGAAAUUA